CCUACGGGAGGCAGCAGUGAGGAAUAUUGGUCAAUGGACGCAAGUCUGAACCAGCCAUGCCGCGUGCAGGAAGACGGCUCUAUGAGUUGUAAACUGCUUUUGUCAGGGAGCAAUUGGCGCUACGUGUAGCGUUAUCGAGAGUACCUGAAGAAAAAGCAUCGGCUAACUCCGUGCCAGCAGCCGCGGUAAUACGGAGGAUGCGAGCGUUAUCCGGAUUUAUUGGGUUUAAGGGGUGCGUAGGCGGAAUGCCAAGUCAGCGGUAAAAUCGCGGGGCUCAACCUCGCUCAGCCGUUGAAACUGGCGUGCUUGAGUGGGCGAGAAGUAUGCGGAAUGCGUGGUGUAGCGGUGAAAUGCAUAGAUAUCACGCAGAACUCCGAUUGCGAAGGCAGCAUACCGGCGCCCAACUGACGCUGAAGCACGAAAGCGUGGGUAUCGAACAGGAUUAGAUACCCGAGUAGUC
rnacentral:rRNA from 1 species